UGUUGCUCAGUGGUUAGAGCAUCAGCCCUCGUACUGAAGGGUCAUGGGUUUGAUUCCCAUCA
rnacentral:tRNA from 1 species